UUUUCGGAGAGUUUGAUCCUGGCUCAGAGUGAACGCUGGCGGCGUAGAUUAGGCAUGCAAGUCGAGCGAUAUCUUUUUUUUGAGAUGUUGAAGCCGCAAGGCAGAUGCGUCAAUGAAGAAGGAAUAUAGCGGCAGACUGGUGAGUAACACGUGAGUAAUUUACCUCCAAAUCGGAGAUAGCUUUGCGAAAGUGAAGGUAAUAUCCGAUGUGUCCAUUGUUGCAUAAGUAGCAAUGGGUAAAGGUGGCUCGCAAGAGUUGUUGUUUGGAGAUGAGCUCGCGUCCUAUCAGCUAGUUGGUGGGGUAAUGGCCUACCAAGGCUUUUGACGGGUAGCUGGCCUGAGAGGGUGGUCAGCCACAUGGGGACUGAGACACUGCCCCAACUCCUACGGGAGGCUGCAGUCGAGGAUAUUUAGCAAUGGACGAAA
rnacentral:rRNA from 1 species